UUUGAUGUGUUUCAAUCCAUUGCAAUUAUCCCCACUGAUGCUCAAAUUAUCCAUCAUCAGCCAGUGGAAGCCCCUUCCAUUGGUUCCUGAAUCCUUUUAAUGCAUAAUCCUCACUACCUAGUGCCACAAGAUGUUCAGGUUGAUCUUGUAUAUUUCCCAUUCAGACCUGGACUCAGCCAUUUCUCCUCGAAGCCCUGGUUCUUUUUAAUGGAAAAGGAAUUAAAGUUGUUAUGUACCAUAUGGGGUCACAGAAUCAAAGACCCGGGCCGUAGGUGUUGAAGGAGAUGUCACCUUGGUGAGCAAAGCUAUACUAGAAUCCUCUAGAACUCAGAAUUCCACUGGGCACUAUUCACACCAACCUCCUCUCAAGCUGUUGAUCUAAGAAAAGGAUGCUAUUAUCUCCCAAGCAGACAGCGUGGGGCCAAGCUGACGGCUUUGUUUCAUUCAAUCCAAGUUUUUCUGCCGUUACGAGUAAUAUGAAGAGGACAUAUCCUUGUACCUCUGUCCAUGUAUUCACCAACUAUUUAUCGAGCAUCUAAUGAUUACUGGACACGGUGCUAGGUGCUGGGGUGCGAGGCGGUAAAAAAGAUGGACACAGUUCCCAUCUUCAUGGACCUUGCAGUACAACAGAGAAACAGGAGAAUUAAAUGGCUGACUGUUUACGACACAGAACAAGACUUGACAUACAGGGAUGGAGCAGCUCAGAGUCCAUCUGAAGGAGGCAGAAGGGGUAGCAUUUUCUGGCAUCAGAGUCGAACACAUUACAAGACCUAGGAAAUUUGGCUCUAAGAUGUCUGACAAAGAAGCAGAAAGAAACACACCUCCAUGCCGUGAGGAAGCCCAGGCAGCCACACAGAGGAGAAGCAAAGCCCUCAGCCAGCAAUCCCCACUGACCACGCAGCCAUCAACCAGUGCCAGCUUGCCAGCCAGCAAUAGGUGACUGAAAUACUGGGUGAGCUCUCCAGCGAGUGUCAUGGAAGCCUUUCCUGCUCAGCUGGGGAUGAAGCCGAUGACACCCCCUUUCCUUCCCACGUGGGUACAUGGAGGACUCAGCAUGGCAACAGAUCUCUCCAAGGAAGACUCUUCACACGUCAUCCCCUCUCCCCACGCUCUAACUGAUUUUCAGAUCCCUGAUCUGCCUGAGGCAUCCAAGAGAUGUAGAACCAGUUCUUAAAACUCCU